rnacentral:ncRNA from 1 species
AAAAACGUAGUUCGAAACCAUCCUACGUAAAAAAAAACUAGGGAGAG